rnacentral:rRNA from 1 species
GUAGGGAAUAUUGGGCAAUGGUCGGAAGACUGACCCAGCCAUGCCGCGUGCAGGAAGACGGCCCUCUGGGUUGUAAACUGCUUUUAUCUGGGAAGAAAAAGGCCAUGCGUGGCAAAUUGCCGGUACCAGAUGAAUAAGCACCGGCUAACUCCGUGCCAGCAGCCGCGGUAAUACGGAGGGUACGAGCGUUGUCCGGAUUUAUUGGGUUUAAAGGGUGCGUAGGCGGCUGAUUAAGUCAGCGGUGAAAGACUUCGGCUUAACCGGAGCAGUGCCGUUGAUACUGGUUGGCUUGAGUGUCGGAGGGGUACAUGGAAUUGAUGGUGUAGCGGUGAAAUGCAUAGAUACCAUCAGGAACACCGAUAGCGAAGGCAUUGUACUGGCCGACAACUGACGCUGAUGCACGAAAGUGUGGGGAUCGAACAGGAUUAGAUACCCCAGUAGUCC